rnacentral:ncRNA from 1 species
GGUGCUGUUGUGCGGGGUAUAGUUGAUAAAGGCGAAGCCGCGGGCCUGAUCGAUGGUGUGGAACAGCGGGUUCCAAUCGAACAUCACCAGCAUGAAACCCGGCAGAGUGUUGGCCACGAACAUCUUGCCUGACGCGAUCAUAUUGGCACGUUG